rnacentral:misc_RNA from 1 species
GAUGAAGAACGUAGUGAAAUGCGAUAAGUAGUGUGAAUUGCAGAAUUCAGUGAAUCAUCGAAUCUUUGAACGCACAUUGCGCCCCUUGGUAUUCCAUGGGGCAUGCCUGUUCGAGCGUCAUUGCUGCCCUCAAGCACGGCUUGUGUGUUGGGCCCCGUCCUCCGAUCCCGGGGGACGGGCCCGAAAGGCAGCGGCGGCACCGCGUCCGGUCCUCGAGCGUAUGGGGCUUUGUCACCCGCUCUGUAGGCCCGGCCGGCGCUUGCCGAUCAACCCAAAUUUUUAUCCAGGUUGACCUCGGAUCAGGUAGGGAUACCCGCUGAACUUAAGCAUAUCAAUAAGCGGAGGA